rnacentral:rRNA from 1 species
AGAGUUUGAUCCUGGCUCAGGAUGAACGCUGACAGAAUGCUUAACACAUGCAAGUCGACUCGAGUCUUCGGACUUGGGUGGCGCACGGGUGAGUAACGCGUAAAGAACUUGCCUCUUAGACCGGGACAACAUCUGGAAACGGAUGCUAAUACCGGAUAUUAUGGUUUUUUCGCAUGGAGGAAUCAUGAAAGCUAGAUGCGCUAAGAGAGAGCUUUGCGUCCCAUUAGCUAGUUGGUGAGGUAACGGCCCACCAAGGCAAUGAUGGGUAGCCGGCCUGAGAGGGUGAACGGCCACAAGGGGACUGAGACACGGCCCUUACUCCUACGGGAGGCAGCAGUGGGGAAUAUUGGACAAUGGACCACAAGUCUGAUCCAGCAAUUCUGUGUGCACGAUGACGUUUUUCGGAAUGUAAAGUGCUUUCAGUCGGGAAGAAGUCAGUGACGGUACCGACAGAAGAAGCGACGGCUAAAUACGUGCCAGCAGCCGCGGUAAUACGUAUGUCGCAAGCGUUAUCCGGAUUUAUUGGGCGUAAAGCGCGUCUAGGCGGCAAGGAAAGUCUGAUGUGAAAAUGCGGAGCUCAACUCCGUAUGGCGUUGGAAACUGCCUUACUAGAGUACUGGAGAGGUAGGCGGAACUACAAGUGUAGAGGUGAAAUUCGUAGAUAUUUGUAGGAAUGCCGAUGGGGAAGCCAGCCUACUGGACAGAUACUGACGCUAAAGCGCGAAAGCGUGGGUAGCAAACAGGAUUAGAUACCCUGGUAGUCCACGCUGUAAACG